rnacentral:misc_RNA from 1 species
GUGGGAUCAGAAAUAAUUGCGCUUAAUAUUAGUCUGAGUUAUUGGUAACAUUAAUCCAAAUAAUUGCACUUAAUAUUAAAAAAGAAAAAAUUUAAUAUAGACUAUGGGUAACAGUAAUCCAGUUAGGGGGCUGGGUCCCCUAAAAUUCGCCACUGUAUACAAGAAAACUUGUUCAGUUGAAUACAACUCCCUACAUAUCAUAACAUGGCAGCAAUCCUCAAGAAAGCACAUGUCAACAUGGUUAGGUAAAAAUUAGCAACUGUGCUUCAAUAUCAGCUAGUAAGUAAAGGAUCGAAGUCUUGCCUCUUGACGUUGAAAAUUGAGGCAAAAUGUCCACAAUUCUGAUUUCUGAAUUCUUAAAUAUAAGUUAAGGAGUGACAAUAAAUUCACUUAGUUCCUC